ensembl:lncRNA
GAGCUUGAUAGCAGCUUUGGGUUAACUUGCCUCUUCUGGCCUCCUCCGCACCUUAACUAUCAGUUGUCGCCUGAGCUCAGUGCCAGCGGAAUCAGGUUGUAUAACUUUUAAAAACCUUUUUAGCGCCGCCCGCGACUGAACACGCCUGAACAGGCACUUUGAGUUCCACACUGAAAUGCUGCCACGUUUUCGCUAAAGCGUGAGGCACUGAAGGUUUAGGGGGGGGGUGGCCAACCUUUAAGACUCCUUAAAUGUAAUUGUACAAACAAUUGGACCGUGUACAGACAAAAAACACACCCGCGUAAAGUCACAACGUGCACAAAACACUGUACUAAGAUAUGUCCUAUUUAUUGUGUUGUAUUUAUUUGCUGAUACAGGUAACAUUAUGUUUCUGUCUGCUGCUUAAACGGUUUACGUUGUUGCUGUGCAGGAUCACAGGCUGACGGAUCAAGUUAGAGGUCACAGAAAAUCCCAAGGAUUAGCUCCUCAUAUUCUCCCCAUUCUUUUUUUUCUCCCCCCCAGCCAUUUUUGCCAGUAAUAUGAUAGAAAGGGUCUGUCUCUAUGCCUGAUGCCUGAUAACAUGAGACAUUAGAAACCUGUUAUUUAUAUGUCCAUCUGUUCAAUGAACAUGGUUUUGUUAUAUUUGCCUGUCUAUUUGCACGUUGACUCUAGAUGUUGAUGCUUUAUAAACGUCAGUCAUUACUGCCACAGAUUAUAAUUAUUAUUAUUUAUGCUUAUUUAUUUAAAUGCAAUGCUUUUGCUCUGUGGCCGGAUUUGUGGUUUGAAAGUAGUACUUUUUUUCACCGGAGUAAAGUUUAGACACUUUGUGUUUUCUUAAAGCAGAGUUGUACUUUCCUACCAAACAGAAAUGAACCCUCGACUUUCACCAGUUUCUACGUGAAUGUACACGAUUUUAAAUACGUUGCUUCGUGCUCGGGGCGAGCGGUUGAAGUGAGACUCGUUCCUAAUGACGUUUGCCCGCCGACUAGUCGCCGAUCCCUCCAGACACACCAAAGGUUUUGCCAAAUCAGCAGCGUCUGAGGUGCAGCACACCUCAUGCUUCCUACAUGACUCACACUCCCCACCUCUCUUUUCCUCCACACUGAGUCACAUACUACCAGUCUCACUACGACGGUCGCAAUGCAACGUAUGAUUGGACCUUGAACGAGUCUGAUGCAAAUUCAUGGAAGCAGACAUCACUAUCAAAUAAACUGCACUGCUCAUCGUUCUCAAAAGGGCUCUGGAUUCAAGUAAAUUACAACUCUGAAACGUAUUUAAAGUCCAUAUAAAUAAUGUAAAUACAUGUAGAUCAUAUACACACACAGUGCAAACCAUAUAGCCAGGUUCAUUUUUUGAUACGUACACUACAUGUUAAGGGAAUAGAAUAUAGCAUAAGGAAAAAAGGGACUAUGGUUCGCUACGUAGAAGCUGCCGAGUGAGAAGCCGAUGUUAAUAUCGAGGAUGUUUGCUCACCUGUGUCUGAGGAUAAAAAAAGAAAUACUGAAAUUGGUUUCAGUGGCAAUGUAAAGUUGUUCGACCCUCCGUGACCCUAACUAAAGAAUGCGCUUGAUCAUUUCAAUGUAACCACAUACACUUCUCACUAACGAAAGUAGGUUGAUUUUUGAAUCUUAAACAGGUGGCGGAUACCCUGUUUAUAAAGGACUAUCUGUAUUGUUAUAUACUGAUUAUUAUGAUUACCGUUCCUCUGUGGAUCUUAACCAUGACACAGGUCGAUGUGUACAGAUAUGGAGACAAGCCCUUUCCUCUGACACCAAAGGAGCUUUGUGGAGGGUCUGUCUGUUUUCACGUCUGCAACCACACGGCGCCGUCAGUGUGUCUCCAUCUAGUGGAAGCUGACGUGCAGCGAUGCGUCGCCCAAGCAUCACACGAGACGAACUCCUGACUCCGCAGUCUCUCUCCCCGGGUCGUUCAUUCAUACCCUCCCUUCCCCACAAAAAAAAAAAAAACAUUCUCAAGCGGGAACCAUCUCAUGCAUGAAAUCUGCAUGUGGUCAGAUCUGCUUUCUCCCGACGGGGGAGCGGACUGCGUCCCCCAGAGAGUGCCUCAUCAGCCAGCCAGUGCUUGCAAAAUGAAUGUGAAGACGCACACUUUGUUCCUGUGGUGCGGUUCACACAUCUGUCCUGUGUAGCAGACAGGCUCCUCGGUCUCCAGCAACGUCUGUGCAAUAAACUGAAGUCUAUAUUUCUAAAUCUCUUUCGUCAUUGUUCCAGUUGUUGGGAUGUGUUUUUGUAUGUGUGUUUGCAAAGAACAAUUUAAGGGCUAUGAAGUGAAGAGUUUAUGGCUUCACAAACCAACAAUGUGUUUGUAUAUUUGAAAACUCGUUAGGUUUACUGUAACGCUGCCAAAAGGCCACCACGUUAACGUGACUGUAGACUGAGGGAAUCAUGUCAACACACACAAGCACACUUAAUUAGAAUUAAAUGACCUCACUGUAACAAAAAGAUGAGAAAUUACUUGACCUCACCUCCUCAAGCUCAAAUAUUAGAGUUUUUUACUGUCAUGAGGUCACAGCUCGGGUUGAGCAGUGCAACGGG